rnacentral:rRNA from 1 species
UUUGUGGUGGUCAUAGCGUAGGGGAAACGCCCAGCAUCCCUUUCCGAACCUGGAAGCUAAGCCCUACAGCGCCGAUGGUACUGCACCUGGGAGGGUGUGGGAGAGUAGGACACCGCCACAA